GCCCUGCCGUAAACUUAGAUAUUUCAAUACAAUAAAUAUCCGCCCGGGGACUACGAGCGCCAGCUUAAAACCCAAAGGACUUGGCGGUGCUUCAGACCCCCCUAGAGGAGCCUGUUCUAGAACCGAUAACCCCCGUUCAACCUCACUACUCCUUGCUUUUCCCGCCUAUAUACCGCCGUCGCCAGCUUACCCUGUGAAGGCAUCGCAGUAAGCAGAAUGGGCAAUGCCCAAAACGUCAGGUCGAGGUGUAGCGUACGAAGUAGGAAGAAAUGGGCUACAUUAUCUGAAGCAGAUUAUUCACGGAAAGUCACCUGAAAUUAGUGACUCAAAGGUGGAUUUAGCAGUAAGGGGAGAAUAGAGCGCUCUCCUGAAGCCGGCUCUGAAGCGCGCACACACCGCCCGUCACUCUCCCCAACAACAAUUACAACUGAUAAGUAACAAGACAGCAGCUACAAGGGGAGGCAAGUCGUAACAUGGUAAGUGUACCGGAAGGUGCACUUGGAAUAAC
rnacentral:rRNA from 1 species